AUGGGCAAUCGGCCUCCUCUAAUCCCCAAGGGCAGCCGGCCCACUCCCUGCAGCAGCCGGCAGGAGAAAGUGCGAGGCGCAGCCGGACCGCCAGCUGCGGGGCGGAAGGCGGACCUGGCCGUUGGGCAGAGCAGGCCGACCCGGCCGCGCGAGAAGCAAGCGGAGCCGGCCGCCGCGAGUCGGGUGGAGGCGGAGGAGGCUGGCGCGGUGGGAGCCGACCACCCAGAGUCGGCGAGGGGCAAGCGCGCCCGCUGCAGGCGGACGACAGAGCCGGCCACCCAGAGUCGGCGAGGGGCAAGCACGCCCGCUGCAGGCGGACGGCAGAGCUGGCGAAUCGGCAAGCCGGCCUGUGAGCGGAGACGGCGCCGGAAGCCGGGAGCAGGCGCGCGGAGCAGUCGAAGACGGCAGGCGGCGCGGGGCGAGCAGCGCGACCGAGUGCAGAAGCAGCCGCGUCGAGUCGGAUGUAGGGCCGGAGGGCUGGGCGCCGGACGGGCCGGGGGGAGCCGGCGCGAGACGGCAGGCGAGGCGGAGCCGGUUGAAGGUGAAGUCAGCGGACGGCGAGCCGGCCCGGCGCGUGGACGGGAGGCGGAGCCGAAGGAGCAGCUGGGGCUGGGCCCCGGCCAGCGAGCGCGCGCGAGGUCCGGAGCCGCACCUGGUGCUGCCGGAUGGAGAUGGCGCAGCAGCGCGGGAGGAGCCGCACCCGGCGCUGCGGUGCGGGACGACCCGGACCCGGUGCUGGUGACAAGCCGGAGCGGAGGAUCCGGCACGCGCCGGAGUCAGAGCCGGCGGGCCGCAGGAGGCUGGAGCCAGAGCCGGUGCGUGCGGGCACGCAUGUCGUGGCGGACUGGCGAAGCCAGCAGGGUGGGGUACCCGGCCACGGGUAAGGCGACCAGAUGGAUCCGGCGGGGCGGAAACCAGCUCACGUGA
rnacentral:rRNA from 1 species